AUGAUUGGCUUCAUUGAAAACAACGUGUCAAAAUUGAGCCUUCUUUUGAAUGACAUUUCAAGGAAGAGCGAGGGCCUCAGCGGCCGGGUCCUGAGAAAACUCCCCUUUCUGGCUCAUGCGCCGUAUGUCCAGGUGAGUCUUCACUGCUGUCCUCCAGCACCCGCCCUGUCCGCAGGUCUCAGCCUCGCUGGAGAUUCCGCUUAGUAGCCCUGGGGUAUCAGCCUCAUUUUAUCUCAGUUUCUAAACCACAGGGUCCUGGGGCCGGAGGAGGAGCUGACCUUGGCACCGAAACACAGGGGCUGUCUUGAGUCCUUUGGGAGGAGGCGGCUGUGCCACAUGCCUCUGCUCACACGCAUGCAUGCACACACAUGCACGUCUGCCUCUGUGGUGUGCUGAGCUCGUGGCCAGGGCCCUCGCUGGCCUCACCAGAGGUUUGUGCUCUUUCAGUCUGGGUUCAGCUCACAUAGAACAGUGACUUGGAUCCACAGCCUCACCCACUGGGUGCUGGGCCUGUUGCAGACGCUUCGGCCCGGGGCACUCACCCCUCCCCUGCACUGUCCCCAGCAGCCGGUUGGGGUAAGGACUCAGUGUCUGGCAGAGCAGGUACACUUACAUCUGAGAAGAGAAAACCCCCAUCUUGGAAUGUUUCCUUUCAAAUCAGAAGUGACUCAGGCUCUGUCUGAUCAGUAGCAGCCUCUGUGCUGGACACAGUGCUCAGCACAGAGGUGACAGUGGCCAUGGAUCAUGAGUGGGAGCCUUUUGAUGCAGGGGAGGUGACAGCUCUGGGCACUGGGCCAUGGGAAUUCUCUGGUUAUAAGCCUGGGACAUAGGGUGGGCCCUCCAGGGUCUGCUCCCUACAGCUUCUCAUCCUUCUCAGUGUGUGGGUGGCUGCCUUGGUGCUCCCCUGCCCACCCCCGCAGCUGUUUCUGACAUGCAGGACAUGGCGGGGGGGGGGUCACGUAGCCACCUUGUUCGCCUUUUCUGAAGUAAAGAGCUUGGCUGAUGUGCGUCCUGGACGUGUGUGGUGCGCACUCACUGCUCACCUCAUCAGCUACCACCCCCUUCUGUGCUAUCUGCACUGUGGGUGGCGGCAGGGGCUGUGGAUGCCAGAUGGCCCCACCAAACGUGAGUUGAGCCCCUCCAGCAAUGACCGUGUACCUUCUAGGCCCCCACCGUCACCAUAGAGGGGUUCCUCCAGGCCCUAUCUCUGGCAGUGGACAAGCAGUUUGAAGAGAGAAAGAAGCUUGCGGCUUACAUCUGAUCCUGGGCUUCCCCAUCUGGUGCUUUUCCCAUGGAGAACACACAACCAGUAAGUGAGGUGGCCCCACACAGCCGUCUCCCAGGGAAUCCCUUCUGCAAACCAAACGUUACUUAGACUGCAAGCUAGAAAGCCACCAAGGCCAGGCUUUGUUAAAAGAAGUGUAUUCUAUUUAUGUUGUCUUCCUUAUGUCACUCUUACCUAGAGCUGGAGUGCAGUGGUGCGAUCGCAGCUCACUGCAACCUCCGCCUCCUGGGUUCAAGCGAUUCUCGUGCCUCAGCUUCGUGAGUAGCUGGGAUUACAGGUGCCUGCCACCACACUUGGCUAAUUUUUGUAUUUUUUAGUAGAGGCAUGGUUUCACCAUGUUGGCAAGGCUGGUCUCGAACUUCUGGCCUCAAGUGAUCCAUCCACCUCUGCCUCCCAAAGAGCUGGGACUUAGGCAUGAGCCAUCAUGCCCAGCCUUCUUUUCAAUUUUAAAAUAAAUCCUGCAGUUUACAUUUCCACACACUGAUUCCACAGCCUAUUAAUGGGUUCAGCACUGCAAUGUAAAAAUUCUGCUUUGCUCAAUUCUUGUCAUUCAGCCAAAUCCUCAAAGAGAACUCGUAGGUCUCACUCCACUAGACAGAAUAUAAUAAUAAGUAAAAACUGAAACUUGGCCGGGCAUGGUGGCUCAUGCUUCUAAUUCCAACACUUUGGGAGGCUGAGGAGGGUGGAUCACCUGAGGUCAGGAGUUCGAGACCAGCCUGACCAACAUGGCGAAACCCUGUCUCUACUAAAAAUACAAAAAUUAGCCACGCAUGAUGGCACGUGCCUAUAAUCCCAGCUACUCAGGAGGCUGAGGCAGGAGAAUCACUUGAACCCGGAAGGCGGAGGUUGCAGUGAGCUGAGAUCACACCACUACACUCCAGCCUGGGUNA
ensembl:lincRNA